rnacentral:lncRNA from 1 species
UUAUUUAUAGAGUUUGUUGGAGUUACUAAUCUCAAUCAAUGCAGGAGUUGGCAACUCCUUAAAGCUAUCAAUGAAAUGCUAAAGCAAAUAUUUCCCAUCCGUAUUCUUUCCUUUUUUCAAUCCCAGUUUUAUUCCAUCUCAUUACUCCAUAAACCAAGUUCCUUAUGUAAUAAAAGCUUGACAAAACUCCUUAAGGGUCCGGUCAACCUAGCAGUUCGGCCAAGGAAGUGCAAGAUGGAUUGAUUUAAAAGGAAACUACAAAGAAGAGAAGUGGAGAGAGGACUUGCAAAUCAACACCAAAGUUAGCAUUUCAUUAAAACUCAAUCCUUAUAAGGUUAGUGUUAUAUUGUUUCAUUUGAAAUUAGAAAUUUUUGUAAGAGGGCUGCUGCGAUUUAGAUUAGUAAUUAGAAUGUGAUAUCUAUGUGAUAGUAAAAGGAGAAUAGUUGUUGUUGUGCGGAGUUAUAAGGAUGGCAAAUAUGGAUCAAACCAUAAGUUGAUUGUAAAUUCUGAAGUUUAAAGCAUGCAUACAUUAUGUUCGAAAAAUGUCCCCUUAGGGACUGUUUUGUUUAAACAUUGAAAUUGAUGCCAAUAGUAAAUGCAGGGAUACUAUAUGUAGAUAAUUAGAUGGUUUGUAUUGAUUAGAUUAAGUGGGAAAACUAUUUUAAAGAAGAACAAUAUGUUCAUAUUAACUAGAAAACUGUUUUAACAGUGUACUUUUGACGUUUUAGAAAGCCCAUUUAGAUUGCUUGUUUAAGGUAUAUUAUAUUUUCUAAAAAUACUUUGCUAUGUUCUCAAUAAUAUAACAAAGUUUCGCUUUAAGAGAAUGAGUGGUUUUUGAUUUAAAAAUUAGCAAAACAAGCAUUUCGUUCAUGGCAUGAUGGUUGUGCUGUGCUGCUGCAGCUGUUGUGAUAAGGCACAUUUGAAGCUCUAUAACACCUAUUUUAAAUGUUCAUUUAGGCUGUCUUUUAUUUUUGAAAAAUAGGUUGCCAUAUCGUGUACAAUAUAUUGAAAAUUGGUUACAAUUGGAUUUAAGGAUUAAAAGUUAGAAAUUAGCAAAGUUGGUACGUUGGAAUGGGAAGUGCUGAAACAGAGCUGUUUGCCCAAAUGUUUUGGCUAGGCUGCUGUGUGAUUAUAUGGGCUUGUUUUGAUAUUUUUUUAUGCUAAGCCAUGUGAAGUGUUUAUAAAAUUAUAAAAUGCAUAUAAGUUGGUAUAUUAAGCAUAAGUAAUAUAUAUUAUAGCAAAUAAAGAUUGUAAAUAUAGAAGAUUCAAUAAUGAAUGAGUAAGGUAUGAGAAUGAAAACUCAAGUUAUAAAUUGCUUGAUAUAAUGCAUGUGGGCUAUGUAAGUGUAUUGAUAAAGUAAAUUAAGUAUACAAUGUAUAAUAAUUUAUAUAUAUUCAUGAAAAAUGAGUAUAUUGAUCUAUCGAACUACUAGAAAUUAAUAAGACUUAUGUUAUAUGCAUAUGUAACAAGUCUAUUGAGGUAAAAAAGGUUAAAAAUAAGGAUGUUGAGCUUGAAAACCCUAAGUUUAAGUUAAAUUCAUGGAGUGUGGUAAUAUUAAGCAACAUAAUGACCUUAUCUAUGUUACAUAGGUACUUUACGGAAUCAUACCACUUCGAGUUCGUAUAAGCUCAUAGAAUUGAUAACUGGGCUUCAUGAAGGCAAGUUUUUCAGACCUACUUGUUAUAUGUACUUAUUAAUAUUUAUGUACCUUUGUGCUACAUUAAAAUCUAUUCUUGCUAAGAUCAAAGUAUGACCAAAUUGAAUUGAGUACGGAAACUCAAUUGAUGUGUUAUAUGCUACUUGAGAAAAAUAAUUAUUAUAUGAGCCAUGAGAUGCAAGUAAGAUUAAGUAUGUUAAAAGUGUGAACUAUGAUCAAUAUGAUGAUACAAGACAUGUACAAUAUUAAGCAUAGUGAAUCAUAAUGCAUGAUCUAAAUGUGAUACAUGAAGAGUAGAAAACAUGUCACAUUAUCCAAAAUAUAAUAAUCAUGUAUGAAAUGUAAUUUAUGUGUUAUCUGUUAGACUUGCUGAGCCGGCGUGUUCAACCUUGCAAAUAAUAUUAUUUGCAGAUUAAAGGAUGAACUAUCUGAUGAGUUUUGACAGUACAGAUUGGAGGAGUACUGAAAAGAAAAUGUAUAAUGAUUCCUUUAGUUGAACUUGUAUUAAGUAUAAGUGUCUGUUUGCAGUGUAAAUAACAUAAGUUGUAUUAAAACUUGAGUUAUGAAAUAAAAAUAUCAUAUUGAUGUUAAUUUAUAAAUUUACAGCUAUUUUGAACAGUAAAUUGAAGUGUUGACAAUAGUGUAUGAGAUGAUUUAUAAUUAAUAAAUUAUAAAUAUGGAAAAAUAGAAGAAUUAUUUCAUAUUGCAGAUUGAACUUAUGUUCAUAUAUUACCUUGUGAAAUAGAUCAUGGUAUUCAUGUGAUACUGAAUAUUUGUAUAGAUACUAAAGGUUGCAUCUAGAACUAAGAAAGGAUUGAGAUAACUAAAUUCUAAUAUGUAUACCAUUAUUAACUGUUAUGUACGGUAAAAAUAAAGUUGAGUGGUAAUAAGAAUUCAAGUUAUGAAAGAAAAUUAAAAAAAAAUUCAAUUUAUACGCAUUUAAGCAAUUAUAGUAGUGGUUAGUGUUGUAAAACUAGAAUGAGUUGGUUCUGUUAACGACCAAAGUCGGGAGAGACAAUUGUCCUAAUUUUGGGGGUCAUUACAAGUGGUAUCAAAGUUGUAGGUUAUAAACCUUAGGUAAGAGUACGUUAGGCUAUAACCAUAGUGAAGAAAGAUGAAAAUGAUGAGAAAUAAACUUGAAUAAAAGUUUAAGUAAAAUAGAAUGCAUUUAGAAACUUCCCAACGAAGUUAAAAUAUAAAUGAAUUCAUAAAGGAAGAGUUGAAAUAUAAACAAGAAGAUUCAAGGAAGAAUCUUGAAAAAUUAUAAAAGAUGAGAAUCAUGAGUUACCUAACUCCAGUAAUAAAGAUAAGAAGUGAUGGUAAAUAGACGAUAUCUACAAGGUAGAGAUGAUAAAAAUAAUAACAAUAAACUUAAAUAGAGUUUAGUUAAUAAUAAAUGAAUUUUACAAAUUCAUGUAAAAGGAGUUAAGAUCGUAUGAAAAUGUUCAAAGAAGAAUCUUGAAGAGCAAUAUGGUGAGGAUCAGGGGACACCUGAAUUAAAUUAUAGAAAUGUAAAGAAAUGAUGAUAAAUACAAGCUGAGAAGUGCAAAUGAAAUCAUAAUAUAACAUGAUUAAAGAGAUGGGCAAGAAGAUCAUGGGAUGAGACGAUUAUAGGGUAAGGAAAGAAUCGUGAUGUAAAACAAUUGUAAAAUAGAUCACGACGUGAUCGGAUUGAAUCGUGGAAUGACAGAUAAUCUGUUAAAACAAUUGGAAAGUUAUAGUCUGACACUAAAAAGAGAUAAGGUACUAUGAAAUAGUUCGAGGUAAAUUCAAGAAAAGUGAUAAAUGAUAAAAUACAGAUUAAAAUAAAUAAUAAAAAAAUAAUAGUUGGUGGAGAAAUAUGGGUAUUCCAAUUCUUCUAGCUAUGCUAGAUUUCAAAAUUUAUUGACAUCGUGCUGAUGUUUACAUUUUUGUGUCGUCGAAAAGUAUUUGAUCAAAUUAUUGAACCAAUAAGUUUUAAAAGUCAUAUUAUUCAUAUGUUUAUGCUAAUUGUUUUGGCUAGACAAAAAUGAUUUGAAAUUAUCAAAAUGUAUUUUAUAUAUCAUAUGCAUCACUGAACAUGGUGUAAAAAUGAUAAACGAUGGAGUUAUCAAUGCAAUCUAAUCUGGUGCUGGAUGUGAUCAUAGGAUCGUCAACCCACUAUGGUAUGUUGUAGCAUGACAAAUUCAUAAAACGAUUUUCAGUAUUUUGAACAAUUUAAAGAAAAUAUGCCAGUUGAGUUGGCUAAAAUAUUUUGAUUGAUGUUCGAAUUAUUGAUACAAGUCUAAGCUAUUUGAUUCAGUUAGACAAAUGAUGAGAUAUGUUAAUGAAAUUCAAGCAUUCUUUGAUAAUUAUGUCAAACCAGAUUGUUCUAGUGCGGAAUUUUGUAUUAAGUCUGUGGUGAACCAACCCUGUAAUAGGGGACAUGCUAUUGGAGGCUAUAGUUCCGAGCUACGCUUAUGUGUUAAUAUGUAUGUGCACAAUGCAUAUGUACAAAUGGCUGAUCACCUGGCGUACGAUGAUGGUUUGUCCAUAGUCUUUUGACUGUUAAAGGUAAUGAAUCUUUUAAUUCCUAGUUAUCCAUACUGCUUCACAAUUAUUGAACAAUUGUAGAAGACUCCUAUUGUUCUGGGAAACUGGAUGAGGGAAGGAUGAUAUUCCCUAGAAAAAAGUAAUCGUAGAAUGCGACAAGUUUAGAUGUAUUCUUAAAAGAAGAAGGUGUAAAGGAAAAAGUGAAGAAUACGUAAAAUGCAAUGAUUUUAGAAAGAUCCUUAGAAGUGAAAGUUGAUCAUAGAACCAGAUCAAUGAAUAAAGAUUAAUAUAAAAAUCUAAUUUGAUGAAUUGAAUUAACAACGAUUCAUGAGUUAAAAUUUUGAGGACGAAAUUCUUAGAAGAAGGGGUGAAUGUGGUAUCCCAAAUAAUCAUGAGUUUAGUAAACGAUGAUAUUGAACUAGUAUGACGAUACAGGCUUAAAGUGAUUCGUAGAAAAAGGAGGUUGAUGGGCUAUGGAAAAAGAAUUAAUAAUAUUCAAAAUGUAAUCGAAUCCAAAUGAAGGUUAUGAAAGGAAAUCUAUAAGUAUUAGCUAAGGGAUUGAAUAAGAUGGGUAAUAUAAAACUAAUAUUAAAGUGAUAUGUUGAAAUGAUUCAAGUUGUCAAGAUUUCGGAAGAGGAUAGACGUAGACCGAGUAAGGAUGUUCGGUGUUUGUGAUUCCGAGGACGGAAUCCUUAUAAGAGGGGAAGAAAUUUCGAAAAAAAUAUUAAAAUAAGAAUUAAAUAUAUAAAUUUUUAUUGUGAGACAUAAUGUGUUUAAAUAUAUAAAUAUAUGUGUUAUAUAUAUUUAUGUGAUUUAUGUAUACAUUUAUUGAAAAGUUAGAUUUAAUAGUGGAUUUAAUUAGUGAAUUAGUUAACUUGAGUUAAUUGCGAAAUGAGAAUUAUGUUGUUAUAAUGUAACAUAUAAUAGUAUAAUAUUUAUUAUUAUACUAAAGAGAUGUGAGUAAAAAUAUGAGAUGAGCAACCAAUAUGCUCGAAUAUUGGUGUUAAAAUUAGUAAAGUUAAUUAAUAUUUAAUUUAUGAUUAAAUAUAUGAGUUAAAUAAAUUGUUUUGAAGCAAUUUAUGGAAAGAAAGAGAAAUUUUAAUUUAAUUUAAUUAUACAAUAUUAAUUGUAUAAAUUGAAUAAAUUAUUCUUUAAUGUAACCUUCAUUACACAAGAAUGUUAAAUUAAUUAUGGAUUAAUUCCAUAAUUCGGGAAAUAAUUUGUAUACAUGGUUAUAAAUGUAUAAUAUCUAAUUUUAGUUAAUAUUGGAAUUAUAUGCAAUUAAAUACAUAAAUUAAUUUUAUGUGGGUAUUGGAAAUUUAGUAUAUAUAAUGUAAUAUAUACAUAUUAUACAUAAAAUAUGUGGCGUGUUGGGUCAUUAAACAACUAACCAAGUCAUGAUGUUGAAUAUGUAUUAAAAGGCUAAGUUCACUUUGCUGAGAAUUGAAGUAAUGAGAAUAAGCCCUAUGGGUGAGUCAUUAGGGGCUACAGCAGGAUGUGGCAUAUCUUUAGGAUAUUAGGAUGACACUUAGCAACCAAGUCUGAUAAUUAACAAAGAGGUUGGGAAUGCUAGACUAGACUAUUAUCAGUUACAAAUAAACCCAAUUCUCAGCCCUCACUUUUUUCUCCCAUCCGUUCCAUUCUUCUUCCUCUCCCAAAUUGCUAUGCUCUCUCCAUAAACAAAGAAACUACAUAAACUCUUUAGGAAUUGAAAUUAGCAAUUGAAGUGAAGGGAGUAUUGCAUCAAAUUGCUGUUAAGGGAUAUUGAAUUCAAUCAACAAGAAGUUUGGAGCAAGGAUUGAAACAAGAAUUCAAAUAAGAACAUCAAACAAGAGGUAUUAACCUUUAUUUGUUAAAGUUCAUAAAAAUUAGAGUAUUAAUGUCUUAUAUUUAUAAAAUUGUUGUGCUUGGACUAUGAGAAUUGAUGUGAUAUAGAUGGUAAGUGAUGCUUGGAGUGAUAAGGAUGAAGAAUUUCGAAAAUUCUUGCUAAACCAUGUUUAAAAGCUUGUGAAAACUAGAAAUUUAUUUGUGUGCAAGGUAUUUCGAAAAUUCUUGCUAAACCAUGUUUAAAAGCUUGUGCAAGGUAUUUAAAAAUCGAAAAUUAAGCAAAGCUUUUUAUAUAUGUAUUAUGAUGUUAACUAAGUUGAUUGAGUGAAUCAAAUCAAGCUCAAAUCACGUUUUAAAGAAUUUCUAAAAACUUGAAUUGAAUGAAAAACUGAGAUGAGGGGGCAUAUUGGAGCUUCUGUAAUAUCAUCUUAAUGAACCCAAAUUGUUCAUGCUAUAUUUUUAUAAAAUAGUAUGUAGUACCAAGUAUAAUAUAUCAAAAUUUGGAAGCAAUUGGAUUAGUAGAUUGUGAGAUAUAAAAUCACAAAGUAGCCAAGAAAUAACAAAACAAUCUGGAAAUCUGGGCAGCCCCAUGUUCCAGAUUUUGGGAAAAAGCACAUUUACCUCAUUGUGGUCGUCGUGUUUUAAGAAAUUAACCACUGUACUUUAAAAAAAAUGCAAUUGACCCACUGUGAUUUUUAAAAAUGCUUAGUUGGACCAUUCUGUCAAAUUUUUUGGACGGACUUUACAUUCUAUCUUCUAUUUUCAUACUUAGCUUUUUAAAAAAAAUAAAAAACAAUUAAAUGCUGAUUUGGCUUCCAACUUGAUUUUUUCACUCUUUCCUCUCAUUCAUCUUACCCUCAUCUUUAACCCAGAUCCAAACAAGAAACAACACUUCAAACUCAAAAUUUACAAGUAACAAAAUGAAAUCACAACAAAUAAACAACUAAAAAUAGAAAAACUUGCAAACAAACAAACAAUCUAUUUCGCUAAAUCUGAUUGUUCUCCGAUUAAAUCAAAUCAAAUCUCACCACGAAAAACUUGCAAAUUUUUGGAGAAAAUUCUAAUUCAUGAAAUCAAAGAGAGAAUCAGACAAACCUAACAAGAUUGGAGAAGAAGAAAGUAAGGUAAAAUUCUCCGAUAUUGAGAAUCAGACAUACUUAAUUCUUUUUCAAGCACAUGACUAAACACCCAGUAUGAGAUUGACUUGCCGGAGAAGAUAAAAUAAUCGGAGAAGACAAGCACAUUUGUAUAUCAUAUGUUUGCACACACACACACACACACACACACACACACACACACACAUAUAUAUAUAUAUAUAUAUAUAUGGAAGUAUUUAUGAGCAUGAAUUGAUAAUUGGGGUUCUUUGUUAUUGAUUAGAUGGGAUUAUCGCCAUUAAUGGCGUGAGAAGGAGAGGACCCCAAAACAGAGAAGGGCAAAAUAAUUACAAAGACACAUGAAAAAAGAAGAUAAAAUUAGACUGUAGUGGAGGAAGAUGAUGAGAUGAAGGAUUUGUGGGUAAUGGAAUUAAACCCAGAUCUAAAGGAACUAAUCCAGGUGAAGAAAGAACUCAGAGAAGAGAGAGAAAUAAUAGGUAAAGAAAAAGAAAGAAAAUAAAGCAUAAAAGUAUUUUUAUUUGUAAAAUUUUUAUAAGUAUUUUAAAACAUAAAAGUACUUUUAUUUUUAUUUUUAAAAUAAAACAUACAUUUUUAAAAUAAAAUAUAUAUUAUAAAUAUUAUAAUAUUAAUUUUUAUUAAUAUUAUACAUAUUAUAAAUAUUUUUUACCUCAUUUUUAGCAUUUGCAUACCAUAUCCACGUGUGUCUGAUUAUUUGAUUCCACGUCAUUUCCUUGGAUUUCUUUUUUUAAAAUGUCAUGUAAGAAUAAAUAAACACACAUCCACUAAAUUUGACGAAAUAGCCCAAUUAAGCAUUUUUAAAAACCACAGUUGACCAAUUGCAUUUUUUUAAGUACAAUGACUCAAUACUUACAACUCGACGAACAAAAUGGGGUAAAGGUGCUUUUUGUCAAUUUUCAAGUAUUAGGAAUUUGGCUGACUGGCUUGCCACGUAGGAAAUAACUUGAUUUGUUUUUUUUUUUCAAAAGCCACGUAGGAAAAUUGGUCCAAUUUCUUAACGACAGUGAGCAAAAUUAGACGGAAUGGCUUGAUUAACAAUUUUUAAAAAACACAGUGGGUCAAGUGAAUUUUUUUAAAGUACAGUGGUUCAAUGCUUAAAACACAACGAUCACAAUGGGGUAAAGGUGUUUUUUCCCUCUAGAUUUUUAUUUUUGAUUUAUUAGUUUUGCCAUUGAGUGUUUAUUUACUAAUUUAUUACAGUUUUGCCCCUGAGUGUUUAAUUAGUUAAAAAUUAAUAAUAAAACAUGUUUUAAUACAUAAGUUAAUCUAUAAAUUAUGCUAAUAACCUAACAUGAUUACUAAGUUAAGAUUAUGAAAUUAACCUUUGAAAUAUGGAAAUUUAAACCAUAUUUGUGGAAUAUAUUACCGUUAAGCUAUGUAAUAACUUUAAUUACAUUACAUAAGCAUACACGAGAUAUUAGAGAUAUAAAUAACCUUUGAAUGGAACUAAUUAACCUAAUAUGGUUAAUAAUGAGAGAUCAAAUUGUUAAUCUAGAUGUAUUCAAGUUUUGGUUAAACCAAAGAACGUGUUACAUAUUAAGCUAUAAGCUUUAUUACAUAGGUAAUACACAUGAUAUUAAUGAUGCGAAUUAGCAACAACAUAAUGAAAUUCAUUCUGAAACGGAUUAAAGAUUAGUUAGUUAAUCUAAAACAAGAUGGAAUCUUAAGAACUCAAGAUCUUAAAAGUAUGAAGUUGGUAUGUGGAAUGUUGAUAAUGACGCGUUAUGCAAACUAAAGAUUAUAAAUCAAUUUAGUUAUGUGAAGUUUCAUAUGAGAUUAUGAAGCAUAUUAUAAUUCAAUGUGCUAUAUAUAGAUUAUACAAAGACGAUUAAGGAUCGGACGAGGUAAUUCAACAAAUGAGAAUACGUGAAAUGUGUUAUAUAUAAAUUAUACAAAGACGAUUGAGGAUCAGACGAGGAAAUUCAACAAAUGAGAAUAUGUGAAGGAUGCUCGAUGAGCGUAUAUCGAUUUAUGCAAUCAAAGGCAAGUUUUUCAGUUUACUCGUGUUAUGUGAACUUGAUAUUAGUUAUGUGUGUAUUAUAAUGAAGUCUUGAUGAGUAUGUGGAAUUACAUGUUUUGGAUUGUAAUGUUAUAUGAAUUGUUGAAGUUAAAUUAUGACUGAAGUUAAUUGAGUUAUGGAAACUCAAUUUAAUUGUGUUAUGCGAUUGAAAUUUGUAAGAAAUUUUAAGUUUGAUAACAUAUGAUGUAUGAUCUAAUUAAAUGAAAUAUGAUGAAAUUGAAAGCUCGCAUAUAAAUUAUACAUGAUGAGAUGUAUGGAGCAUAUCUAAACGCAUUGCAUAAGUUUAAUGAUGCAUAUAUAGAAUGCAUAGCAUGAGCAACAUAAUGCAUGACUGAAAUGCAUAUUAUGUAUAAAUGUGAUACAUGAAAACUGUUAGACUUGCUGGGCCGUUGUGCUCAAACUUGCAAUUAUUUGCAGAUUAAAGAUGCGAUGCAAUUCUUACUAUCAUGAUUAUAAAGAUUAUCAUGAUUAUAAAGAUUAGAGGUGCGUGAAAAGGAAUGCUUUCAUUUGUUUUCUUUAGUUGAAAUUAUAUUUAGU